rnacentral:rRNA from 1 species
CCUCAGUAACGGCGAGUGAAGCGGUAACAGCUCAAAUUUGAAAUCUGGCCUUGGCCCGAGUUGUAAUUUGUAGAAGAUGCUUCGGGCGUGGCACCGGUCUAAGUUCCUUGGAACAGGACGUCAUAGAGGGUGAGAAUCCCGUAUGUGACUGGCUGCCUACCCCAUGUGAAGCUCUUUCGACGAGUCGAGUUGUUUGGGAAUGCAGCUCAAAAUGGGUGGUAUAUUUCAUCUAAAGCUAAAUAUUGGCCAGAGACCGAUAGCGCACAAGUAGAGUGAUCGAAAGAUGAAAAGCACUUUGGAAAGAGAGUUAAACAGUACGUGAAAUUGUUGAAAGGGAAGCGCUUGCAACCAGACUUGCGCGUAGUCGAUCAUCCGAUGUUCUCACCGGUGCACUCGAUUGCGUUCAGGCCAGCAUCGGUUUAGGUGGUUGGAUAAAGGCCUUGGGAAUGUGGCUCCUCCGGGAGUGUUAUAGCCCUCGGUGCAAUGCAGCCUACCUGGACCGAGGACCGCGCUUCGGCUAGGAUGCUGGCGUAAUGGUUGUAAGCGACCCGUCUUGAAACACGGACCAAGGAGUCUAACAUCUAUGCGAGUGUUUGGGUGUCAAACCCAUACGCGUAAUUAACGUGAACGGAGGUGAGAACCCUUAAGGGUGCAUCAUCGACCGAUCCUGAUGUCUUCGGAUGGAUUUGAGUAAGAGCAUAGCUGUUGGGACCCGAAAGAUGGUGAACUAUGCCUGAAUAGGGUGAAGCCAGAGGAAACUCUGGUGGAGGCUCGCAGCGGUUCUGACGUGCAAAUCGAUCGUCAAAUUUGGGCAUAGGGGCGAAAGACUAAUCGAACCAUCUAGUAGCUGGUUCCUGCCGAAGUUUCUCUCCCAGGAAUAGAAA